CAGACUUCGCCAUUCUUCCAACAAAGAACCAAAUUUGUGCAAUGAAAGUGGUGCUGUUUGGCGCUACUUACGACACUGUUGGAACUAGUGAAUUACCUGAUGGGCUCCUAGAUGCACAAGUAAACCUAGUUUCUGUGUUGGUAUGGGGUAUUCGGGAAAUGCGAUUGCAUCAAGUAGAUGGCAGUGGCAACGACCGAACGCUACAUUUCAAUUUCAAACUGGAUGUAGACCUUUUUGGGGUAAAGAACUGAUAUCGUUCGGUGUGGUAUGCAUGCAGAUGAAGCUGGAGUCACAUCUCGCAAAAGACAAAUGUCCAUUUUUGCAUUUUGAUUCUGAAAUGAAUAUUCAAGAAGAGCUCCUUUCUUUUUUACAGCGCAAAUGGGCUUCGAGUGAAGAAGUAUUGAUUACACAAGUUAAUCUUAGAUGCCUUACAAACAAGUGUCUAUUGUGAAUGUGGAGCGAAAGGUGAAUGAGUCACGGCCUGCACUGGUGCACUUAACCGGG